AGUGUGAUGCCAGGGAAUCAAUCUGUAUGCCAGGGUCAGGAUCAGGAUCAGGUCCAUUGAGAAUAACCGGCAUCAGAAACAGCCAGUGAUCACCAAGAAGGACCACAGUGUGUCUAAAUGUGACAGAAGUUCUCCAAGACUGACCCUGAAAUGUACCUGGCUCCUUCACAGAAGAGAGGAGGGAAAAAUAAUCAGAUGUUUUCACCACAAAAUGGAGAAGUUAUCUUUAACUUUCCUCAAAAAAUGUUAUUCUUAUUUGACAACAUAUCAAGUCAUUUGAGCCUGCUGGAUAUAAUCAGAUUUAUUGUUACCCUUGACCUCUGAGAGCUCCUAAAAAUUAUCUUGAGCAGUGUUACAUACGAACUAAAACCAGAAAUACUGGGUAAACCAGUUAUGCUGAUCCAAAUGAGCCACAUGAUGAAUCCUGGCAAUGUCCUACCUCACAAGACAGCAGAACCAAUUGUACAUAUGAAGAUUUUUUUUUUCACCAUCCUGUACUUGAGAGAAAGCAUAAAAAAAAAGAAACUAAAGGAAGAUUAAGGAAGUCAGAGAUGCUAAAAGGAUACAGAUCAAGUAUCUCCCUUUGGCCCAAACUUUAAAACUCCAAGGGUACAGAAAGUAAUAUACUGUCACUAUUAUGGAGCCUGCAAUGAAGAGGCAUCCUCAGUGUUACAUUUAUGAGACGUUAUCUUUGUAUGAAGCCUACAAACAAGUACCUUUACAAUAGCCAGGAUUAAAGCUAAAGG